GAUGAAGAACGUAGCGAAAUGCGAUACUUGGUGUGAAUUGCAGAAUCCCGUGAACCAUCGAGUCUUUGAACGCAAGUUGCGCCCGAAGCCAUUAGGCCGAGGGCACGCCUGCCUGGGCGUCACACGUCGUUGCCCCCCCAUCUACUCCUUCGGGAUUGCGGGGGGCGGAUGAUGGCCUCUCGUGCGCCUCGUCGCGCGGUUGGCCUAAAUGCCAAGUCCUCGGCGACGUACGCCACGACAAUCGGUGGUUGCGAAACCUCGGUUGCCUGUCGUGUGCGGUCGUCGCGCAUCGAGGGCUCGAAAAAAUUGCCGGGCUUCGGCUCGACUUUCAACGCGACCCCAGGUCAGGCGGGGUUACCCGCUGAAUUUAAGCAUAUCAAUAAGCGGAGGA
rnacentral:misc_RNA from 1 species